GGGGUCGACCAGGUUUCGACAGGGGUUGCAAAGCAGCGCAGGGCAUACCGAGGCCAGACUACCUCGUAAAUACAAUCUGAACUAUAUAACUGCAAACGAUAACUCGUACGCAUUAGCCGCUUAAUACCGGCUAACCUUACACCACUUCGUCCAUAGGGUGGGCUGGCAACAGCAGUAAGGACAUUCAUAUGGAAUCGUCUUGAGCCGGGUUACUUGACUCUCGAUUAAAUAAUAGGUAACUCGUCCUGCCGCAGCGUGUGCGUCCGCGUCGUCAGGAUUAAAUCAAAUGGCAGCACUAAGUAUGUAGAACUGUCUGUAGAGUGCUUCUGGACGCGGGUUCGAUUCCCGCCGACUCCACCA
rnacentral:tmRNA from 4 species